UACGUAGGGGGCAAGCGUUGUCCGGAAUUAUUGGGCGUAAAGCGCGCGCAGGUGGUCCACUAAGCCCGGCGUGAAAGCCCCCGGCUCAACCGGGGAGGGUCGUCGGGGACUGGUGGACUUGAGGGCGGCAGGGGCUGGUGGAAUCCCCGGUGUAGUGGUGAAAUGCGUAGAGAUCGGGGGGAACACCCGUGGCGAAGGCGGCCAGCUGGGCCGUCCCUGACACUGAGGCGCGAAGGCGUGGGGAGCGAACGGG
rnacentral:rRNA from 1 species